UUUCUGGGUACUUUGAUUUUGAUUUUUCUUGGCCAGUGUCUCCUGAGUGGUCUCCUCUGUGUCGCCAGUCUUUUGAUUCUUUCAAUCUUCAUAAAAUGACUUGGCUCUCUGUCUCUGCACUGGGGGUCAGAUCCCUCUCUCCUGUGGUGCCCUGAUAGAGCGUCUGAUGUUGUCGACUGGAGUUUGAGUCCUGACCCGCAGAGAAAAUAUCAAAUUAAAAAAAGGCUUAAUGUUGACUGGAUGGAGGCUGUAGAGGAUAUAACGUUGCUCAUCAAAUGCACUGUUGAAAAAUCGAGAAUGUGUUUUUCUUGAAAAUGGCGGAAUGGUCUUUGGGCACUAUGGCCCUAAUUGUUGUUCUAUUUAAUUCUUGACAUUUUAGUCUAAUAUUUUUGAUCAAGGUUGCUUAGCUUAGCUUGCCUAGAUUGAGUUUCUCACCCAGUGUACACCUGAGAAACAGGAGGAAAGCCUGCAGUACACUGGCAUUAUCCAAGCAAGUUCUCUGAGAAACCUGCAUGCUCGACACUAACUCUUCUCAAUGGUGUGUUUUUUGAGUUUUAUAAAGUAGCUUGUGUUCCUGAGGGAUCCCUCCAUAUAAACAUGUUGCCAUCAGAGGUGUAAAGAGAACCUGAAAAUCAUACUCGAGUAAAAGUAUAGAUAAUUUACUGUGAAACUUUUCACCAAUUCCAUUGUAACUUAAGUAAAAGUCUUUGAGUAUCUGA